rnacentral:rRNA from 1 species
GGCUCAGAGUGAACGCUGGCGGCAUGCCUAACACAUGCAAGUCGAACGGCAGCACAGCAGUAGCAAUACUGUGGGUGGCGAGUGGCGGACGGGUGAGGAACACAUCGGAAUUUGCCCAGUCGUGGGGGAUAACGUAGGGAAACUUACGCUAAUACCGCAUACGACCUUACGGUGAAAGCGGGGGAUCGCAAGACCUCGCGCGGAUGGAUGAGCCGAUGUCGGAUUAGCUAGUUGGUGGGGUAAAGGCCUACCAAGGCGACGAUCCGUAGCUGGUCUGAGAGGAUGAUCAGCCACACUGGGACUGAGACACGGCCCAGACUCCUACGGGAGGCAGCAGUGGGGAAUAUUGGACAAUGGGGGCAGCCCUGAUCCAGCAAUGCCGCGUGUGUGAAGAAGGCCUUCGGGUUGUAAAGCACUUUUAUCCGGAACGAAACGUGCGGGGUGAAUAGCCUCGUAAACUGACGGUACCGGAGGAAUAAGCACCGGCUAACUUCGUG